UACGGGGGGGGCAAGCGUUGUUCGGAAUUACUGGGCGUAAAGGCUCGUAGGCGGCCAACUAAGUCAGACGUGAAAUCCCUCGGCUUAACCGGGGAACUGCGUCUGAUACUGGAUGGCUUGAGAUUGGGAGAGGGAUGCGGAAUUCCAGGUGUAGCGGUGAAAUGCGUAGAUAUCUGGAGGAACACCGGUGGCGAAGGCGGCAUCCUGGACCAACACUGACGCUGAGGAGCGAAAGCCAGGGGAGCAAACGGG
rnacentral:rRNA from 1 species